rnacentral:misc_RNA from 1 species
AUUCGUUACAGGGCAAUCGUUGUCGUGGGGUUACAUAGAAUAUGACACUCAGUAGAUAUGUUUCCAGAUGGACAACAGGAGAACAGCGAAUUUUCAUGACUCUUCUUUAUUUCAUGUCUAUGCAAGGACUGGUAAGGUCAACGAUCACUGUGAAUGUAGCGUCUCAGUCCACAUGGGUAAAUUAUGGAGAUAAUUACACGGCGAACUGCAAUAUCCCCGGUCUAGAUGCUCUUGAAAUCAGCCAACUGAGAGUCGAGUGGUUCCACAACGGUCAACGUCUGACCAGUCAGUGUUUAUUGUUGUCAGCUGAAAUCAAACAGAAGUAUAGCUGCAUAACUGUGACACCAGAGUGGAACAAUAUCAGUUUGUUACUCACAGUAAAAAGUAAUUGUUGAUUAAACACCCUUGUAACUAGGUCAGAUUAAUGCUUUAAAAAAGAGGUUGCAGUCCAGUUUAAAGUGGUACAAGUACAUGGGUGUUAAUUUGACAAUAGUUUCCAUUACAUGUAUUAUAUAUUUUACCAGUUUAUAUGAAGCAUUACAAUAUUUGAACUCAUUUAUUCAAAUUAAAAAAAAAUAUCUACCGUU